GGUGGUGCAGUGGGUCGUCGCGUUUGGCUGUUAACCAGAAGGCUGGUGGUUCAAGCCCACCCAGGAACA